CAGUUAAUAGAUACCUCAGUAAGAGUAACAAAUAUUAAGACUACUUGGACAUGAUCACAAUUGACUGAUUUAAAUGGUGUCCAUUGAUUUCAAUAGAGUUGUUCCAUUUUAUACGAGGUGAGGAUUUUCUCACUUAGCUCUUUAUAGCUCACACAAUAUGGUCCUGUUGGUUAAAAGUACUGCAGCCCACUGCCUAAAGACUUUUAGCAAUGUUAUGUUGAACUGAAAUUGAGUGUGGUGGUAAACUGCAGCCAAAGCAUCAUAAAAGACUUUCUCCCCAGUAUUUAUACACAGAAGGUCUCUUCCACAGCUAAUCUACAGCAAUUUCCUUCUCCUCCUGGGCUCUAUAGAGGACAGAUCAGGACUGCUGCACAUGAUGGGGGCACUCUGACCACAAGUUCUUUUCAUCCAUAGAAAUGCUUAUUUCAGAAACCACAUUAAUGGAACAGCAUCAGAAAGCAUACAAUGUUGUACCAAUUUGUACCUCUUUCACUGAGAGGAUUUAAAUCCACAAAGCUGAGAAUAUGUUACUUUUCUGAGGCAGUAAAACUUACUAAAAUAAAUGUAAAAGGAGGGAGGUGAAAAUUCAGAAGUUAUGUAUAAGAGCAAGCCAUUUCUCAUAGAUAAAUGCUUCAGAGAUGUACUUUCCAUAAAGAAACACCAAGAACACAGUUUGUUACAAGCAAAGUAAGCAUUUGAGAGGAUUUGCGGAAUAAUAAUAUUUUAUAUAAUGAAGCAUAACUUUAUAGUCUUUCUAAUAAUUACAAAUGAAUGGAGAGAAUAUAUCUGAAUGUUCAUAUGAACUGGUCAGAAAACAGGACUUCCAAUUAAUGAAUAAUUUCCUAGUUUUGGGAUUUGUCUUCCUCAGAGGCAUAACUGGGCAGUGCUGCAAGGUGGUGCAUGGGGAAUGGGCAGUGGCCUGUACAGGCUUAAUGGGGAAACCUGUCACUGCAUAAGUUAACAGAGAAGCCAUUACAGAAAUACAUCUUAAGCAACAAUUUAAAAGCCAAAAUUCUGAACCAAAUAAAAGGGAUGGGAAGGGUUAAUCAAUACUUCUCCCUUCAAUGGCAGUUUCCUCUAGCAGAGAACCGCCAGUAAGUGCCAAGCACAGAGUUGCUGCUCUGCCCUCCCUACCCAUCUCACACCCAGCACUGUACCUACCUGCCAGAAUCCCUGCAAGUACAUGGUACAGUAGAGGAAUGAAAAGGUGAAGCACCUGCCCUGCCUUGGCAGUCCCUGGGGCUCCUGCCCAGCUUG